CGUGAAAUUGUUGAAAGGGAAGCGCUCAUGACCAGACUUGGGCUUGGUUGAUCAUCCAGGGUUCUCCCUGGUGCACUCUUCCAGCACAGGCCAGCAUCUGUUCGCUGUGGGGGAUAAAGGCUUUGGGAAUGUGGCUCCUCCGGGAGUGUUAUAGCCCAUUGUGUAAUUCCCUGUGGUGGACUGAGGUUCGCGCAUCUGCAAGGAUGCUGGCGUAAUGGUCAUCAG
rnacentral:rRNA from 1 species